CUUAUACUCCCUCCAUUCGGAAUUACUUGUCGCGAAAAUGGAUGUAUCUAGAUGUAUUUUAGUUCUAGAUACAUCCAUUUCCGAGACAAGUAAUUCCGAACGGAGGGAGUAGUAU
rnacentral:pre_miRNA from 1 species